rnacentral:rRNA from 1 species
AUUGAACGCUGGCGGCAUGCUUUACACAUGCAAGUCGAACGCGAAAGGGGGCAACCCUGAGUAGAGUGGCGCACGGGUGAGUAAUACAUCGGAACGUGUCCUGUAAUGGGGGAUAACGCAGCGAAAGCUGUGCUAAUACCGCAUACGUCCUACGGGAGAAAGCGGGGGAUCGCAAGACCUCGCGUUAUAGGAGCGGCCGAUGCCGGAUUAGCUAGUUGGUGGGGUAAAGGCCUACCAAGGCAACGAUCCGUAGCUGGUCUGAGAGGAUGAUCAGCCACACUGGGACUGAGACACGGCCCAGACUCCUACGGGAGGCAGCAGUGGGGAAUUUUGGACAAUGGGCGCAAGCCUGAUCCAGCCAUGCCGCGUGAGUGAAGAAGGCCUCGGUUG